GUGGAAAAGACAAACCAGAAAUAUGUCUCAUAUUUGCAAAAGGAGUAUGUGCUAGUCUUAAAUGCCAAAUGUAAUUCAUAUCAGUGGUAACAACAUUAUCACAAAUGGAAUUAUUUACAAUUGGAAGCAAGCCAACAUUUUUGCUAUUAGACAUAGUGUCAUCAUUACAAAAAUCAGACAAAGCACACACAGAAGUAAAAGGAGAACCAGGAGAGGAAGAAGGGGAAGGAGGCACCCAAGACAGUUUGUAUAAGCCAGCUUCCUCUUUACCAAGAUCCAGAGGCCUCUUCGGAGAAGGGUCCUGUAUCAUGUGAAGCAAACAGGAAGUUGGAGUGAACAAAACUAUACAGUGCAACUGUUUUAUCAACUUGUGAACAGAAAUCAAGUUGUGUUUAAAUGAAGGAACCAGAAGCACAUUGUGAAGAGUAAGGGAAGAAGGAACAGACAAAUUAGGAUUUCCAUGAUUAACAUACACACAUUCCUCACCAGUGGAGAUAUGAGCAGCUGCAGAUUUUCUUCCCUUGUUGUAGUUUAUGUUUUGAGGAAACCCAUGGAUCUUGUAGCACUUAUCAAUUAAGUGCCCAGAUUUCUUGCAGUAUCUGCAAAAUAAGGGUCCUCUGCUUUGCUUAAUAUUAACUAUGGGUCUGAAAAUAGGGGGUCUAGGCACUGUGGCCUGAUUAAACCCAGCUGAGUGCUUGUUUGCAUGAGCAUUAAAAGACAUAGAGUCUGGACUGAUUUGAGAAAUGGAUUGAACUUGUCUUUGUUUCUCAUCAUUAAGCACUAUGUUGUAAACACUGUCAACUCUGGGUCUGAAAAUAGGGGGUCUAGGCAUUGUGGCCUAAUUAAACCCAGCUGAGUGCUUGUUUGCAUGAGCAUUAAAAGACAUAGAGUCUGGACUGAUUUGAGAAAUGGAUUGAACUUGUCUCUGUUUCUCAUCAUUAAGCACUAUAUCGUAAACACUGUCAAGGGAAGGAAAUGGGUGCAUCAUCAACAGAUUACUCCUAACCCCCAUGUAUGCUUCAUUUAACCUCAUAAGAAACUGGAAUACCUUGUUUUCAUCAUUUUCCUCAAUUAUUCCAUUUUUAGCAGCACACACACAUCUCUGCCCAUGUUUGUGCACAUUGUGCCCAAUUCAACCCACAAGCCUUUGAGCUUGUUAAAGUAUGAGGCUACGUCUAAGCAGCCUUGAGAUGUGUGGGGUGCCCAAUUCAUCCCACAAGCGUUUGAGCUUGUUAAAGUAUGAGGCUACAUCUAAGGAGCCUUGAGAUGUGUGGGAAAGUUCCCUUUUUAAUUCAAAAUUUUGGGUCUUGUUAGGGGUACCAUAUCUUCUCUCAAUUUGGGACCAUAUACUCUGUGCAGUAUCGGAAUAUUGCACACUAUCAGCAAUCUGAGGAGACAAGGAGGAGGUCAACAAGGAAAUGACCAUUUUAUUACAUCUAUCCCACAGUCUCUGUUGAACCACAUUAGUGGUAGGUCGAGGACAUGAACCGUCAACAAAAUCGAUUUUGUUUUUAGCAGAUAAAGCAACAAUCAUCUUACGCCUCCAACCCCCAUGACCACAACCCGAGAAGGGAGUGGGAACAAGAGAGACCCUAGGGACAUCAGAGAAAUAUACAAAAAGGGGGCUAGUAGAGUCUACCAAGGAGGAGGAGGUACCAGCAUUCAUGUUAGAAGCCAUAAUCAAUAAACCGGCUUAAGAUAAAACAGUUUCAACAAGAAGAGUAUAACCAAGCCAGAUAUUCACACACAAAACCACAUACUCACAUACGGUGCCAGAUAAUCACACACAAAGCAUACAAUACUCAAGAUAAGGACAAAGUUACCCUCCUUCUUCGCGACCGGAGAAGAUCGGCCUUCAAUCAACAGAGAAAACCUAGGUACAAAACCCUAGGUGUAACCGUCGAAAUCUUUACUGGAAAUAUGGUCAGCGAUGUCGGAAAGUCACCCAAAACAUCCACUAAGUGAGGAUCGAGCCACCAGAUAGCAGUUAAACCCUAGGUUCAACCACCAGAAACCCUAGAAGCUGAUAAAUCAUCGAAAGAUCACCCAAAAAUUAUCGGAAAAUCUCCCACAACGUUCGAGUGAAGAAGAUAUAGUCAGAUAUCACGAUGAAAGUCUCAGAAAAACAUCCGAUUUAGAUCGGAAUCGUCAUCGACCACAUACGUCAGAAACACCCCCAAAAAUCUCAAAGGGAAAAAACAAUCGAUUUAGAUCGGAAUCAUCAUUGACCACAUUCGUCAAGAACACCCCCAAAAAUCUCAUAAGGAUACUUCAACCAAGACAACAAGAUGCAGAAAAACAUAAUCGGAUCAUCGUCUACGCUCUGAUACCAUGAAAACUUUGAGAUUAAACCGAAGAAUCACGGAAAAUAUAGUGAGAGAAUCUAGAGAGAAGGAGGAGCAGUUGAGAGAAGUUUCAGGAAGACAGAGAGUUUAUUAAUCAGAAAAGAGAGUAAAAU
rnacentral:lncRNA from 1 species